rnacentral:rRNA from 1 species
GAUGAACGCUGGCGGCGUGCCUAACACAUGCAAGUCGAGCGAUCUUCUUCGGAAGAGAGCGGCGGACGGGUGAGUAACGCGUGGGUAACCUGCCCUGUACACACGGAUAACAUACCGAAAGGUAUGCUAAUACGAGAUAAUAUGCUUUUAUCGCAUGGUAGAAGUAUCAAAGCUCCGGCGGUACAGGAUGGACCCGCGUCUGAUUAGCUAGUUAGUAAGGUAACGGCUUACCAAGGCGACGAUCAGUAGCCGACCUGAGAGGGUGAUCGGCCACAUUGGAACUGAGACACGGUCCAAACUCCUACGGGAGGCAGCAGUGGGGAAGUAUUGCACAAUGGGCGAAAGCCUGAUGCAGCAACGCCGCGUGAGCGAUGAAGGCCU